rnacentral:rRNA from 1 species
GGGGAAUAUUGGACAAUGGGGGCAACCCUGAUCCAGCAAUGCCGCGUGUGUGAAGAAGGUCUUCGGAUUGUAAAGCACUUUCGACGGGGACGAUGAUGACGGUACCCGUAGAAGAAGCCCCGGCUAACUUCGUGCCAGCAGCCGCGGUAAUACGAAGGGGGCUAGCGUUGCUCGGAAUGACUGGGCGUAAAGGGCGUGUAGGCGGUUUACACAGUCAGAUGUGAAAUCCCCGGGCUUAACCUGGGAGCUGCAUUUGAUACGUGUAGACUAGAGUGUGAGAGAGGGUUGUGGAAUUCCCAGUGUAGAGGUGAAAUUCGUAGAUAUUGGGAAGAACACCGGUGGCGAAGGCGGCAACCUGGCUCAUGACUGACGCUGAGGCGCGAAAGCGUGGGGAGCAAACAGGAUUAGAUACCCUGGUAGUCCACGCUGUAAACGAUGUGUGCUAGAUGUUGGGUAACUUUGUUAUUCAGUGUCGCAGUUAACGCGUUAAGCACACCGCCUGGGGAGUA